AGAAGGGGUGAAAUUUAAACGU
rnacentral:miRNA from 1 species